AGUGCGGGACUCUGGGUCCACCUCCCAUCCGUGUCUAUCUGUACCCUGUUGCUUCGGCGUGGCCACGGCCCGCCGGAGACUAACAUUUGAACGCUGUCUGAAGUUUGCAGUCUGAGUUUUUAGUUAAACAAUCGUUAAAACUUUCAACAACGGAUCUCUUGGUUCCGGCAUCGAUGAAGAACGCAGCGAAAUGCGAUAAUUAAUGUGAAUUGCAGAAUUCAGUGAAUCAUCGAGUCUUUGAACGCACAUUGCGCCCCCUGGUAUUCCGGGGGGCAUGCCUGUCCGAGCGUCAUUGCUGCCCUCAAGCACGGCUUGUGUGUUGGGCUUCCGUCCCUGGCAACGGGGACGGGCCCAAAAGGCAGUGGCGGCACCAUGUCUGGUCCUCGAGCGUAUGGGGCUUUGUCACCCGCUCCCGUAGGUCCAGCUGGCAGCUAGCCUCGCAACCAAUCUUUUUAACCAGGUUGACCUCGGAUCAGGUAGGGAUACCCGCUGAACUUAAGCAUAUCAUAGGCGCGGAGGAA
rnacentral:rRNA from 1 species